GAUGAACGCUAGCGGCAGGCUUAAUACAUGCAAGUCGAGGGGCAGCAGUUUUGUAGCAAUACAGAAGCUGGCGACCGGCAAACGGGUGCGGAACACGUACGCAACCUUCCUUUAACUGGGAGAUAGCCCACCGAAAGGUGGAUUAAUAUCCCAUAGUAUAUUUGAGUGGCAUCACUUAGAUAUUAAAGCUCCGGCGGUUAAAGAUGGGCGUGCGUCUGAUUAGGUAGUUGGCGGGGUAACGGCCCACCAAGCCCACGAUCAGUAGCUGAUGUGAGAGCAUGAUCAGCCACACGGGCACUGAGACACGGGCCCGACUCCUACGGGAGGCAGCAGUAAGGAAUAUUGGUCAAUGGACGCAAGUCUGAACCAGCCAUGCCGCGUGGAGGAUGAAGGUCCUCUGGAUUGUAAACUUCUUUUCUUUGGGACGAAACCCCUGUUUCUACGGGGACUGACGGUACCAGAGGAAUAAGCACCGGCUAACUCCGUGCCAGCCGCCGCCGUAAUAC
rnacentral:rRNA from 1 species